rnacentral:rRNA from 1 species
GAUCCAUUUGACACUGUCUGCUCAAACAUUCCAGACAGCACUCACGUCCUGAAACUCGAUGAAAAUUGCAAACACUGUAUGGCCAGGAAGUUUGAAUCUGAGACUGACGGCUUCUGCUGUCGCAAUGGCCAGAUCCAGCUUAAGCAACCGGAACCAAACCUAGAGCUUGUGAGGCUAUGGUCCAGCAUGGAUGCAGAUUCGAGACAUUUUCGAGAGAACAUACGGUUCUUCAACAGGCAUUUCGCCUUCACCACCCUUGGCGUCAGCCUUGAUGAAAACUACACAAACAUGAGGUCCGGGGUGUACACAUUCCGAGCUCACGACACCAUCUACCACAAUGUCCAUUCGUUCGGGCCUAGCUCGCGUUUUACCGGUUUUGAGAAACUUCUGGAAGGUACUUGUCCAGUUUCCUUUUGGUUUGUUCUCUUAUUUGGUUCUGUUUUUUGUUUUUUCGUAAAUCAUCAAAAGAUUCAUAAAUGUCACAAAAAUUACAAUUUUCAAAUGUCUUUGGAAUAUAACUAA